UACGUAGGGGGCUAGCGUUGUCCGGAAUCAUUGGGCGUAAAGAGCGUGUAGGCGGCUCGGUAAGUCCGCUGUGAAAGUCCAGGGCUCAACCCUGGAAUGCCAGUGGAAACUGUCGAGCUAGAGUCCGGAAGAGGCGAGUGGAAUUCCUGGUGUAGCGGUGAAAUGCGCAGAUAUCAGGAGGAACACCGAUGGCGAAGGCAGCUCGCUGGGACGGUACUGACGCUGAGACGCGAAAGCGUGGGGAGCAAACAGG
rnacentral:rRNA from 1 species